CCUACGGGUGACUGCAGUGGGGAAUAUUGCACAAUGGGGGAAACUCUGAUGCAGCGACGCCGCGUGAGUGAAGAAGGAUUUCGGUAUGUAAAGCUCUAUCAGCAGGGAAGAAAAUGACGGUACCUGAGUAAGAAGCCCCGGCUAACUACGUGCCAGCAGCCGCGGUAACACGUAGGGGGCAAGCGUUAUCCGGAGUUACUGGGUGUAAAGGGAGCGUAGACGGCAGCACAAGUCUGGAGUGAACUGCCGGGGCUUCACCCCGGAACUGCGUUGGAAACUGUGCAGCUAGAGUGCAGGUGCGGUAAGUGGACUUCCUAGUGUAGCGGUGACAUGCGUAGAUAUUACGAGGAACCCCAGUUGCGAAGGCGGCUUACUGUACUGUACCUGACGUUGAGGCUCGAAAGCGUGGGUAUCAAACAGGAUUAGAUACCCUUGUAGUC
rnacentral:rRNA from 1 species